AAGAGCCGUAUGAGGGAAAACUUCACGUACGGUUCUGUGAGGGGACUUGUAGUUAUGAGUUCUACUCGAC
rfam:Candidatus Firestonebacteria bacterium RIFOXYC2_FTLL_39_67 rifoxyc2_full_scaffold_1597, whole genome shotgun sequence.